GACGAACGCUGGCGGCGUGCUUAACACAUGCAAGUCGAACGGUAAGGCUCCAGCUUGCUGGGGUACACGAGUGGCGAACGGGUGAGUAACACGUGGGUGACCUGCCCUGCACUUCGGGAUAAGCCUGGGAAACUGGGUCUAAUACCGGAUAGGACCGCACCGUGAGGGUGUGGUGGAAAGUCUUUUCGGUGUGGGAUGGGCCCGCGGCCUAUCAGCUUGUUGGUGGGGUAAUGGCCUACCAAGGCGGCGACGGGUAGCCGGCCUGAGAGGGUGGACGGCCACAUUGGGACUGAGACACGGCCCAGACUCCUACGGGAGGCAGCAGUGGGGAAUAUUGCACAAUGGGCGGAAGCCUGAUGCAGCGACGCCGCGUGGGGGAUGACGGCCUUCGGGUUGUAAACUCCUUUCACCAUCGACGAAGGGUUUCUGACGGUAGAUGGAGAAGAAGCACCGGCUAACUACGUG
rnacentral:rRNA from 1 species